rnacentral:rRNA from 1 species
AACGCUGGCGGCAUGCCUUACACAUGCAAGUCGAACGGCAGCACGGGUGCUUGCACCUGGUGGCGAGUGGCGAACGGGUGAGUAAUACAUCGGAACGUACCUUAUCGUGGGGGAUAACGCAGCGAAAGCUGUGCUAAUACCGCAUACGCCCUGAGGGGGAAAGCGGGGGAUCGCAAGACCUCGCGCGAUUGGAGCGGCCGAUAUCAGAUUAGGUAGUUGGUGGGGUAAAGGCUCACCAAGCCAACGAUCUGUAGCUGGUCUGAGAGGACGACCAGCCACACUGGAACUGAGACACGGACCCGACUCCUACGGGAGGCAGCAGUAAGGAAUAUUGGACAAUGGUCGAAAGACUGAUCCAGCCAUCCCGCGUGCAGGAUGACUGCCCUAUGGGUUGUAAACUGCUUUUAUAUGGGAAGAAUAGCAUAGAUUCAUCUGUGUAUGACGGUACCAUAUGAAUAAGCACCGGCUAACUCCGUG